GGAUGUGAGGGCGAUCUGGCUGUGACAUCUGUCACCCCAUUGAUCGCCAGGGUUGAUUCGGCUGAUCUGGCUGGCUAGGCGGGUGUCCCCCUCUUCCCUCACCAAUCCAUGUGCGUCCCUCCCGAAGCUGCGGCUCGGUCGAAGAGGACGACCUUCCCCCCCGAGGAGAGGACCGGUCUUCGGUCAAGGGUAUACGAGUAGCUGCGCUCCCCUGCUAGAACCUCCAAACAAAUCCACAAGCAUGUGGUAGUAUUCCCACUAACCAAUGCAGAGAUGACCAUUGUACCUUGGCUGACUGAAACCGAGCAUCUGUUUUU
rnacentral:snRNA from 1 species